AGCUAGUGGGUCGAGCUUGAUGAUUCCUCAUCAAAAGCUGGUUCUGCUUUUCAGCAAGAAGUAAAACAGAGAUCAAAUUCGAAAACUUGGUGAAUAUAUGUGCCCUCAGCGAGAUACUCAGUCUGCAAUGCAUCAUGGAUGUGUCUUCGAAUGAAGAUCAUUGCAGUAGCCUUCUGAGCUUCGUCGACAAGUUUUUCGGCAAUAGGUGUCUCAAUGGUGGCUAUAAUACCCUUUGCAGUGAGAUGGAGCUUCACGUCUUGAACCCACUUUAGAUAAUUUCUUCCAGAGACUUCGAGAACGGAGAAAUCGAGCUUGUUCAAGUUCGACAUGUCCCUAAAAUAGAGGGAAAAAACAUGAUUUAGUCAUAUGGUAAGCCAUAGACAUAUAUUGUAGAACAUACAGGUUCUAUAGACAUGUAUUAGUUUAAUUUAUGCAUGAAAACUUCAGGUUUCAUGUGGUAUGUUUUGAAUGAAAACUUUAGGUUUCAAAGGCACUAAUUUUGAAACUACAGGUUCAAAUUAGUUUUAUGAACGAUUAGUUCAUAAUGAGAGGUUCCUGCAAGAAACACAUAAUGCAAUAUACUAAGUGUAGUGGAUUUGAGUUGGCUUCGGGAACUCAAGUGUGAGAGCUUCGGUACUACGAAAGUAUGUGACGGUUCAAAGUAUAAAAAUAAAUUAUUGAAUCGUUAAUGUUCAAAAGUGAUCUUCAGGUCAAUAAUUUUGGAUUCAUUAUCAGAUUAGUGGACUGCAGUUCACUUUUAAUUAAUUCAAUAAAUCGGGCCAUACAGGGUCGAUUGUAGAAGCAAAAUAAUAUUAACAUACUGGUUAAAUUAUUUAAAAUGCUAAAAUAAUAACUUGUGGGUGGAAAAAUGCCCCAACAUAUUUUGGGCAUGGGUGUCGUGGGUAAGGGAAGGCACGGGGUGCCUUGAGUAAAAACGGCAGGGCCUAACAGGGCCUAGGGUAUGGCUGCAGGCCACGGGAGGGACAAAACCCCCAGCCGUAGCUAGUUUAGGUGUUUUGGUCCAAGGGGUCACGGGGGCAAGCCCAAAGCUUGCGGGUUGGUCACGCAGGGAGCCCAACGAAGCUAGGGUCUUGAUUUUGUGGCGCAAGAAGCCCAUCCUAAGGGCUAGCUUUGUGUGCCUUGUGUGCAUAAGGCGCCCAGCCGAGGGCUGACAGGUUUUUUAUGCAGGCCGAGAGAGGCCAUGGGCUGCAGGCCCAGCAAAGAAACCAAAAUCAGGCCGAAGCCUGUUUUCCUUUUUGGCACAGGGAUGGUGCGAUGCACCAAAUCCCAUUCCCCCCUUUUUUUUUCAAUUCCCUUUAGGUUUUAGGAAAAACCUAAUAUGCUUCUAAUUUAAUUUUAUACAUUGACUCACAAAUUCCACAUAACAAUUUAAUUGUGCGAUGCAUGAAACAAAUAUAUAUAGUGACAAAUAUAUGAACAUAUACAAUAUAUAUAUCAGAAGGAAAAUAUAAACAUAGGGGGUUCAUGCAUCAUGGGGAAUGUUUUCAUGCUUCAUGGGUCGUUUCAAAUAUCUUCCUUUAUUUUAAGCGUACCUGAGCAGCAGAAAACGAAUAAGCCUUUGAAUGUGGUGGAUGAUAGCCUCCUCCUACGAUGCUUAAGUUCCUCAGCUUCUGGCAAGAGCGUGCUGAUAACGUGUUGUAGGCCUAUUUAAUUGAGCGAUCUAAGAUUUAGAGAGAGAGAGAGGGAGGCCGGCCACUUUAGAGAGAAGAGAGAUUGAUUUAAUUGUG
rnacentral:lncRNA from 1 species